rnacentral:rRNA from 1 species
AGAGCGAACGCUGGCGGCAGGCCUAACACAUGCAAGUCGAGCGCCCGUAGCAAUACGGGAGCGGCAGACGGGAUAGUAACACGUGGGAACGCGCCCUUCGGUUCGGAAUAACUCAGGGAAACUUGAGCUAAUACCGGAUACGCCCUUACGGGGAAAGAUUUAUUGCCGAAGGAACGGCCCGCGUCCGAUUAGCUAGUUGGUGAGGUAAUGGCUCACCAAGGCGACGAUCGGUAGCUGGUCUGAGAGGAUGACCAGCAUCACUGGGACUGAGACACGGCCCAAACUCCUACGGGAGGCAGCAGUGGGGAAUAUUGGACAAUGGGCGAAAGCCUGAUCCAGCAAUGCCGCGUGGGUGAAGAAGGUCUUCGGAUUGUAAAGCCCUUUCGACGGGACGAUGAUGACGGUACCCGUAGAAGAGCCCCGGCUAACUUCGCGCCAGCAGCCGC